CGUUAAUAUAAAUUAAUCUAAUUAUUUUACUUUCAUAAUUAUAAGUAUGUGAAUAUAACUUUAUAAUUAUUUUUUAAAAUAAUCAUAGGGAUAUUAAUAUAAUUAAUUAUAAAAGAGAUAAUAUAUAAUUAGUCCUAAUUCGAGUGCUUGAAAUUGGCUCGAUUACAUAUUUAAAGAAAAGGGCCAAAGUGCAGUUGGUCCCCUUUAUAAAGAGAUAAUAUAUAAACUCUGUGAUGAUUAAGGGUGCUCAAACGAAUGGAUACUAGGUUUCACGAAUUGACGAUCAAAUUAGAUAUAUGUUGAUUCAAUUUACAUGUCAUAAUUUCACAAGUGAUGUAAGUUUAAUUUCAUAAAUUUUAUUAUCUCGGUCAAUUUUAUAACUCUUUAUCUAUUAACUUAAUUGGAUCAAGAUGACUCAAUUGGAUUGAUUUACUUAAAAAAUAUAUAUUUUAAAAUUGUUAAAGUCAAAGAGAAGCGAUGAGUAUAGAGUUAAAAUAAUUUAAAAUUAUAAAUUAAUUAAUUGGUUAAUUAAAUUGAAUUAAACUGACUAGAUUAGAUAUGUUUGAAUCGAUUUGUUUCAGAUUUAUCUUAUUUUAAUCAAACUGAAAAUCAAUUCACUUCGAUUGGAACCAUCGUUAAUGAGGGUAAACAUAAACGAUAAGUAUUUAAAAAUAUGAAAAAGAAAGAAACACCGAGUAUAUCCAAAAGUAUUAAUGGGUGUUUUUAUUUUUUUUUUCUCUUUUCUUUUCUUGGGCGCACGUUUAUGUCGGUCCCCAGCAGAGGAGAGAGUUGGUCUUUUAAAAGAACUCGGUCGACGUACGGAACGGCGGAGGCCCCACGUGUUGUGGGUCCGGAACAAGUGGUGUCAACCCCCGGCAGUGGAAAAGAACACACCACGAGACAGAAGCCAGGAAGGAACGAACUUUCUUUCUUUGUAGCAGGCGACAACAGAAAUCGAAGGGUCUUUGGGUCGCCUUUGAUAGACGAUCCCGUUAAUAAGCGAGAGAGCGGUGAAAGGUGGGCAGCGAUCCGACGAGGCGCCUCCACUCUCUCGUAGAAUCGUCUUUCGGUUCCCCCAAGAAAGAUGUCGAUCUUUUCGAACUCCCACUCUCCUGAAAGGAGACGGAAUCAAUCUCGUCCCUUGCAGAUUUGUACAAUUCAAGCCUCUUUGCACACUGCAUCCUGCGUUCCAUCAAGGCUGGAUUCUCAUCCAAGAUAGAUGCGAGCUGCUUUCCCUGUACGGCAAACUAGCAUUACAAUCGUAUCAUAAUAAAAGGACGCGAAAGACAUGAUCUCAAGUUAUCAGUUGCAGAAACAAGCCAACCUCCUUUUUCCCCACUUGCGUAUAGAAAUGAUUGAGCAGAGAUCGCUUGGCUUCUUGAACUUGACAGUAGACCACAGCUUUUGGUAUAGUGUUUCUGAGUGUGUCUGAUACCAUGCUAAUGUACGCGGAUACAUUUGAUCCUAUCCUCCUGAAAUGUCCCUCGCCAUAUCGAUCAAUUGUAGGACCAGCAGGAUUACUGUCAUCAGGUUUUUUGCCAGUAGGAUUACUACCAGCAGGGUUAUUGCCCCUUUCCACCUCUUGCGGGAGCUUGCGGAAGAAUUCCACUGUCAAGUAUGAGGCCUCCAUGUCAACAAGUCGAAGUGCAGUCUUUCGACUGUCUUCGCGGAAUCUUUCCAGGGCUUCAUAUGCGGCAGCGGCUAACUCUGUUUGCAGAGUGGGGAACCUUCUCAAUUCCUGUCAGUUGAAUAGACCGGCGACUGAUUUGCUAUUUCAUGGGAACAAAUAGUGCUUCAUAUGAUGACAAAUGCAUAAAUUUUUACCUGAGUCUCUCCUA